ACGCGACAGUCGUACCAAAUUUUGGCGCCGUUGCCGGGGAAUUGGCUAUUUAUUACAUUAUUACUUGUAUUUUUGGUAGAAACGCGACAGUCGUACCAAAUUUCUAGUUCCAUGUUUGUUUAUGUGUGACAAAAAUUCGAAGAAACAAAGAUUAAGGGAAUUUGCAGCAAGGAACCAAGGACUAAUAAUUAAUCAUUUUUCUAUGUCUUUUGUAUUUAAAAGGACUCGUGCUUAGAUAUUGGAGCAAGCUUGUUAGAUUUCGUUGCCCUAAGUGAGAGUUCAUUAUCUUUGGAAAAGGAAACUGAAGAAAUUUUUGAGAUGGCUGACGGUACCUUAAAGCAGCUUGCUUUUCCUACCUUUGAUCCUAAUAUGCUCAACAUAUUAGAUGGUGAGACAGAAUGUGAGAUUAAGCCUAGAUUGAUUAGAGCAUUACCCACAUUUUUAGGCUUCCGCAAUACUAGCUCCUUGGGUUCAGUUUACAUGAAUGAGGCGAACAGAUUCUUGAAAUAAUUUCACAUAGCAUGUGCGGGGAUGAAACCUGAUAGUUAACCCUUGACCAGCUCAAGUUAAAGGCAUUUCCUUUUGCUUUGACUGAUGCUGCCAAGGAGUGGUUGUUCGGACUUCCUACAGGAACCAUCACAACCUGGACUCAGAUGCAAGAAAAAUUCAUAGAAAAAUAUUUUCCGGCAUCUUUGGCAACAAACAUUAGAAAAGAAAUAUGUGGGAUUCGACAAGAAGAUGUAGAGUCACUUCAUGAGUAUUGAGAGCGUUUCAAAAAGUUAUAUGACAGCUGUCCUAAUCAUCAGAUCAAUGAGCAAUUGCUAGUGCAAUACUUUUAUGAAGGGCUCACGGAGUCGGAUCGGAACUUAAUUGAUGCUGCAAGUGGUGGAGCAAUGGUUGAUAAGACACCCGCAGAUGCAAAGAUACUGAUAGCGAACAUGGGAGCAAACUCUCAGUAUCGAGGAGGUCGAAAUAUCAAGUCACUUUUGAACGUCAAGUUAAUGAAGUGGUGAGUUCUAACCUCGAGCAACAAGUAGCUAAACUCACUUCCUUAGUGGAGCGAAUAAUGAUAAAAAAAAGGGGCAAGAAAUAGCAUGUGGCAUCUGUAUAAUGGUAGGACACCCAAUUGAUAUGUGCCCCACUAUGCAAGAGGAACAAGUGAAUUCUAUUGGUGGUGGUCAGGGGUAGCAAAGACGUUAUGAUUGAUUCUCUCAAACUUAUAAUCCGGGGUGGAGAAAUCAUCCAAACGUGAGAUAUGUUCAACAACAGACAGGCAACUCCAACCUCAGAAAAUCAGCUUUCCAUCAACAACAAGCAUCUAAUCCUCCACCUGGUUUUCAUCAGCAACCACAAUAUCAGCCGCGACCUCAAAAUUAGCAAGUUUCCCAGCCACAAUCUGGUAGCAUGUCUCUGGAAGAUAUCGUGAAGGCAAUGGCUGACAACACUUUGCAUUUUCAGCAAGAAACAAGAAGUGGUCUAAAAAACUUGGAGAACCAAGUUUCUCAGUUAGCUAACACAGUGGGAAAGCUCCAAGCUCAGAGUUCUAACAAGUUGCCAAGUCAACCAGAGAGAAAUCCAAAGGAUAACGCAAGUGCAAUAUCACUUAGAAGUGGCAAUUCAAGCAAUUAGAGGUCCAAGCGAAAACGACUGAAGUGCUGGCUGAACACCAAGAGGAACAUGAGACCAUUGUUCCAGAAAAAGAUGAGCAGCCCUCUAAGGUAAGUGAUGUUGUUUCAUCCAAAACUGACCAUUUUUCUUCUUCUGUACCUUUCCCUAGCAGGUUGUCAUCUAAGGAUAAAAAGAAAGAGAUGGAGAAAGAGGUGCUAGAUGUAUUUCGCAAGGUAGAGGUGAAUAUACUUUUACUGGAAGCCGUUAGACAAGUGCCACGGUAUGCAAAGUUCUUGAAGGAGUUGUGCACUAACAAGAGGAGAUUGAGUGGAGAUGAAAAAUUCAAUGUAAGUAAGAAUGUUUCUGCUAUUUUACAGAGGAAAGUUCCUCCCAAGUGCAAGGAUCCAGGUAUUUUUACUAUGUCUUGUAAAAUAGGUAACAAGAGAUACGAUAAAUGUAUGAAAGACUUAGGAGCUUCUACUAAUGUCAUGCCUUUAUAUAUCUAUAAAGCUCUGAACUUAGGACCUUUGAAAGACACUCGAGUGAUUAUUCAGCUUGCCGACCGUUCUAAUACAUACCCUGUAUGAGUAGUUGAGGAUGUCUUAGUGCAAGUGAAUGAAUUAGUAUUUCCUGCUGACUUUUAUGUUUUAGAUAUGCCAAAUGAUGAAUCCCAUAGUACAACACCUAUCUUAUUAGGAAGACCUUUUCUGAAAACAUCCAGAACUAAAAUUGAUGUUCAUAGUGGGGUGUUUGACCAUGGAAUUCGAUGGGGAGGUCAUACGGUUUAAUUUAUUCAAUGCAAUGAGAUAUCCUGCUGAUUAUGAAUCUGUUUCUAGGAUAGAUAUUGUUGAUAUUCUAACUGAACAGGUUCAAUUUAUUUCAAGUCAAGAUGCGUUAGACUUUGUUUUAACUGCACUUAUGGAAAAAGAAAAAUAUGCUGACUUGCAAGAACAUUUUGAGCUUAAGGGUGAAGUUAAGGAAGCUUUUUCCUCUCUGGAAAUACUUCCCGAAAAGAAAUUAAGGUAUGACAAUCGGUUUAUGCAGUUACCGAUCACUUCUAACAUAUUGUUACCUUCUAUUAUGUUUUUUAGGCAAAAAUAACACUCUUCCCGUCAUAAUCGUGAGUAAUCUAACUCCGACUCAAGAGCAAAAGCUGGUGCAAGUUCAUAGGGAGCAUAAAACAGCUCUAGGGUGGACAGUUGCUGAUAUAAAAGGAAUUAGCCCCUAUAUGUGUCAGCAUAGAAUCUUAUUAGAAGAGGGAGCUAAACCAGUGCGGCAAGUGCAAAGGCGACUUAAUCCACCUAUGAUGGAAGUGGUGAAGAAAGAAGUAAUGAAGCUUCUUGAAGUAGGGGUGAUAUACCCUAUAUCAGAUAGCCCUUGGGUCAGUCCCUUGCAAGUGGUCCCAAAAAAGUCAGGAGUCAUAAUGGUGGAAGACGAUAAGGGAGAAAUGGUACCCACCCGAGUGCAAAAUGGGUGGAGAGUUUGUGUAGAUUACUGAAAACUUAAUUCUAUGACUCGAAAAGAUCAUUUUCCCUUACCCUUUAUUAAUUAAAUGGUAGAACGUCUUGCUGGUCAUGCUUAUUAAUGUUUUCUUGACGGAUAUUGAGGUUAUGUGCAGGUCCCUAUAGCUCCGGAAGAUCAAGAAAAAACGACGUUCACAUGCCAGUAUGACACAUUUAUGUAUUGUUGUAUGCCAUUUGGGUUGUGCAAUGCUCCAGCGACUUUUCAGAGAUGUAUGGAAAGCAUCUUUUCAGAUCAUCUUGAAAAUUUCAUAGAAGUUUUCAUGGAUGAUUUCACUAUACAUGGAGAUUCUUUUGAUAGUUGCUUAAAACACCUCACUUUAGUUCUUAAACGUUGUCUUAGCUCGAAACUAACCUUGUGCUUAAUUUUGAAAAAUGUCAUUUCAUGGUUCAACAAGGUAUAGUUUUAGGCCAUUUUGUGUCUUCUAAAGGAAUAAAAGUCGAUAAAGCUAAAAUUGAUCUUAUUUCUUCUCUGCCUUACCCCGCCUCUGUGCGAGAAGUUCGUUAUUUUAUUGGCUAUGCAGGUUUCUAUCGAAGGUUUAUUGAAAGCUUUUCGAAGAUUGCACAACCACUAUGUAGACUACUCCAAAAAGAUGUGGAGUUCCACUUUGAUGAGGCCUAUAAGCAAGCAUUUGACAAGCUGAAAGACAAGUUGAUCACUGCCCCUGUUCUGCAACCUCCUAACUAGGAGCUUCCAUUCAAAUUAAUGUGCGACGAGUCCAAUUAUGCUGUAAGGCCAGUACUAGGCCAACGAGUUGGAAAAGUUCCCCAUGCCAUUUACUAUGCCUCGAGGACUUUGGAUGCAGCUCAAGCUAAUUAUACUACAACUGAGAAAGAACUUUUAGCUGUAGUUUUUGCUUUAGACAAAUUCAGGUCUUAUUUAUUGGGUACUAAAAUUGUUGUGUUUACUGAUCAUGCAGCGUUAAAAUAUUUAUGGUCAAAAGAUGUAUCCAAACCUAGGCUAAUAAAUUGGAUUUUAUUGCUUCAACAAUUUAAUGUUGAAGCAAUAGAUAAAAAAGGUUAUGACAAUAGUGUUGCUGGUCAUUUAAGCAGGUUAGUUGGGGAAGCUGAUGAAGGUAAAGCUCUAAUCAAUGAAGAGCUCCCUGACGAGAAACUUCAUGCCUUGAAUUCAGGAACUCCGUGGUAUGCUAAUUUGGUGAAUUUUCUAGUAUUUGGGAAGUUUCUAGCCAGCUACACCAAUGCACAAAAGGACCGGAUGCAAAACAUAGCAAAGAACUACAUAUGGGAUGACACAUAUCUCUGAAAAUUUUGUGCUGAUCAACUGAUCAAAAGGUGCGUACCUGAUUCCGAAUUUCUUUCUAUACUAACUUUCUGCCAUUCUUAUGCAUGUGGGGGACAUUUUGGACCAAAGAGAACCGCAUGCAAGGUUUUAGAGAGCGAAUUCUACUGGCCAUCCAUAUUUAAAGACGCAUACGAAAUUUGUAAGGCAUGUGAUAUUUGUCAAAGAACAAGUACACUAGGUCCUAGGAAUGAAAUGCCCCAGACUCCUAUUUUAAUAUGUGAAAUCUUUGACGUUUGGGGUAUGGAUUUCAUGGGACCCUUCCCCUCUUCUUUCGGUUUUCAAUAUAUUUUUCUGGCUGUCGAUUAUGUUUCGAAAUGGGUGGAAGCUAUAGCCACCCGUAUUGAUGAUUCUAAAGUGGUUACAUAAUAUUUGAAAUUGAACAUUAUUGCUAGAUACGGAUUUCUGAGGGCUAUUAUCAACGAUAAGGGGACACAAUUCUGUAAUAUAACCGUAAGGGAUCUUUUACAGAAGUACAAUGUGUUCCAUAGAGUCUCCACAGCAUACCACCCGUAAACAAAUGGACAAGCUAAAGUUUCCAACCGGAAAAUCAAAUCCAUUCUGGAGAAGACUGUGAAUCCAACUAGGAAAGAUUGGAGUCUCCGCCUCAACGAUGCUCUGUGGGCGUACAAAACAGCGUAUAAAACACCGAUUGGGAUGUCUCAUUACAGGCUAGUGUUCGGCAAACCUUGUCACCUUCUAGUAGAAUUGGAACACAAAGCCUUUUGGGUCGUGAAGCAAUGCAAUAUGGAGAUGGAUGCAGCAGGUGAGCAAAGGAAACUUCAGUUACAAGAGCUUGAGGAAAUCCGAAAUGAUGCUUAUGAGAACACGAGAAUUUAUAAGGAGAAGACUAAGGCAUUUCAUGAUGAGCGCAUCACACGAAAGAAAUUUACAAUGGGGCAGAAAGUUCUCUUAUACCACUCUCGGCUCAAACUUUUCCUGGUAAACUUCGUUCACGAUGGGUAGGGCCAUUUGUUGUUACCAAGGUAUAUGACCAUGGUGCGGUGGAGAUUCGUUGUGAGGACACAGGGAAGGAAUUUAAGGUGAACGGUCAUCAACUCAAGCCUUAUUAUGAAGGUUAUCAGGUCCAGAACAUUAAAGUGAUGGAGUUAAAAGCUCCAAGUUAUGAAGACUAGUAUGCUAGAAAGAUGUCGAGCUAACUACGAUAAAUAAAGCGCUCUUGGGAGGCAGCCCAAGUUUAGGAUUAUAACAUGAUUGUUUUUCAUUUUUAUUUUCAUAAUUUUAUUUUAACUGUUAUGUAGUGUGUAAAAAAAAUAAAAAUAAAAAACAGAGAGCUUCCAGAUUUCUGAUACGCUUAUUUUCAAAUCCUUCAUAAUCUUCUGGAAACAGACACAUUUAAUUUGCGUGAAAUUGGUAUUGUUUGUUACAGGCCACAUUUAAUGGAGAACAGACAUAUGCUGCUAGAUUCAGAGGUGUGAAAUAUCUAACAUUGUGUGGGUAGUCAUUUCAGCAACCUAGGAGUGUGCAACGAGAAUAUGGAGGCAUUUUACAUAAAGACACAUUCACCUCCACUGCUAUCUAGCUGUAGCAUAAGCAUUUUUUUUUAGAAGAUUGACAGUGCAGUUGAGCAACUCCAAUGUGUUUAAAGCAAGACUUUAUGAGCAAGUCCAAGCUUGGGGGGAUGUCAUCAGGCUAGCUACACGAAAGGAAGAUUUUGGUAUCAAAGUGCAAUUUACCAAUGUUUGGGUUAAAAGUAGCAAAUAGCCACGUGGGCUUUAAAGUACAUCAAUUCCACUCUUUCAAAACAAUCUAAAAUAGGAGCAGCUCAAAACCUUUCAAUUACCUCAUUGUUCUUGCGGUUAAACCACAAAUAUAACUCCCGCCAAUUCUUGCGGAAUCAACUCUAAAAACAGAAGAUAAGGAUGAAAUCAGAUGAGGAUGAGAGCAAGAAAUUCGGGAUAGGAAAAGAUCCAAAAAGCAAAAGAGGUGUAUUUUGGCAAUCCGGGGGGAGAAAUUUUGGAACUUAUCUUGAGAGCUUAUUGGCAGCAAAAAUUAGCAACAAACGAGAGGAAAACCAGCAGCGUUUUGGAGCUCUAAUUGCUACGAAAUCAACAAAUUUGGUGGGGUUGAAAACUGUACUUUGUGGCGACACUCUCGAGGACAUCUGGGUAGUUUUUUGGCUGCAGCAACGAAACUUGGUGGGAGUACCGUUCAUGGUUCUUUCAUCCAUCAAUUUGGUAUUCUUACUUUAAUUGAUUGUUUAUAAAUUUUGCACUGAGAAUUUCAGUUCAUGGGUAAUUGUUAAGUUAUUUUUGUCUUUAAUAUUUCAUUCGGUUAUUAGAUCUUGUCAAAUAAUUUUACCAUUUGUUCCAUUAUAGUUAUUUAUCUUCUACUUCAGAAAUAUAUAUAAGAGUCAUUGUUAGUACUUCAAUUCUUGAUAUGUUAGGCUAGAUUACUAGUGGGUACGGGGAAUUAUUAUACAUUGGAUUAUUGUAUUGUGAGAAUAAGAAUGUGGUAAUUUGAUAGUAUUAUGUUUAUAUCUUGAUUGGAUUGAUAAUUUGUUUUAUUGGUAAUAAUUAGUUAAAUAUUCUAGACCGGCCAUCUUUAGUUUAGUUUGCUAGUUUAAUUGUUAGAAUAUUAAUUUGUGAUACGUAAUUGUCCGGAUUAUUACUCUUUAGUACCACUUAGGUGUUUGAUAGGUGACUAAAAUUUGCCCGAUGCCUAUGAUUAUCAACCCUUUAAGCUGCACGAAUCCGAGCUCGUGAGAUUUGUGGCUUAAGUUAGCUACUUCCUAGUUAUUAAUGCUGCUAAUUAAUCGAGUCUAGAGAGCUUGUUCUAGAUUGUUAGUUAGUUAGACAAUACUC